GAUAGUUGCCAUCAUUUGGUUGGGCACUUUAUCGAGACUGCCGGUGACAAACCGGAGGAAGGUGGGGAUGACGUCAAAUCAUCAUGCCCCUUAUGUCUUGGGCUUCACGCAUGCUACAAUGGCCGGUACAAAGGGCUGCAAUACCGUAAGGUGGAGCGAAUCCCAAAAAGCCGGUCUCAGUUCGGAUUGGGGUCUGCAACUCGACCUCAUGAAGUCGGAGUCGCUAGUAAUCGCAGAUCAGCAACGCUGCGGUGAAUACGUUCCCGGGGCUUGUACACACCGCCCGUCAAGUCAUGAAAGUUGGUAACACCCGAAGCCGGUGGCCUAACCGUUGUGGGGGAGCCGUCGAAGGUGGGACUGGUGAUUAGGACUAAGUCGUAACAAGGUAGCCGUAGGGG
rnacentral:rRNA from 1 species